GUCGAGCGGACCGACGGGAGCUUGCUCCCUUAGGUCAGCGGCGGACGGGUGAGUAACACGUGGGUAACCUGCCUGUAAGACUGGGAUAACUCCGGGAAACCGGGGCUAAUACCGGAUGCUUGAUUGAACCGCAUGGUUCAAUCAUAAAAGGUGGCUUUUAGCUACCACUUACAGAUGGACCCGCGGCGCAUUAGCUAGUUGGUGAGGUAACGGCUCACCAAGGCGACGAUGCGUAGCCGACCUGAGAGGGUGAUCGGCCACACUGGGACUGAGACACGGCCCAGACUCCUACGGGAGGCAGCAGUAGGGAAUCUUCCGCAAUGGACGAAAGUCUGACGGAGCAACGCCGCGUGAGUGAUGAAGGUUUUCGGAUCGUAAAACUCUGUUGUUAGGGAAGAACAAGUACCGUUCGAAUAGGGCGGCACCUUGACGGUACCUAACCAGAAAGCCACGGCUAACUACGUGCCAGCAGCCGCGGUAAUACGUAGGUGGCAAGCGUUGUCCGGAAUUAUUGGGCGUAAAGCGCGCGCAGGCGGUUUCUUAAGUCUGAUGUGAAAGCCCCCGGCUCAACCGGGGAGGGUCAUUGGAAACUGGGGAACUUGAGUGCAGAAGAGGAGAGU
rnacentral:rRNA from 1 species